AGAGUUUGAUCCUGGCUCAGAACGAACGCUGGUGGCGUGCUUAACACAUGCAAGUCGCACGUGAAAGUCCUUCGGGAUGAGUAAAGUGGCGCACGGGUGAGUAAUAGAUAGGAACGUGCCUUUCGGAGGGGGACAACCACUGGAAACGGUGGCUAAUACCGCGUAAGAUCGAAAGAAGAAAAGGGGGCCUCUACUUGUAAGCUCUCGCCGAAAGAUCGGCCUAUCUCCCAUUAGCUAGUUGGUAGGGUAAAAGCCUACCAAGGCAUCGAUGGGUAACUGGUCUGAGAGGAUGAUCAGUCACACUGGAACUGAGACACGGUCCAGACUCCUACGGGAGGCAGCAGUGGGGAAUUUUGCACAAUGGGGGAAACCCUGAUGCAGCAACGCCACGUGAGUGAAGAAGGCCCUUCGGGUUGUAAAGCUCUUUCGGCCAGAAAGAAGGGUAUUUUGGCUAAUAUCCAAGAUAUUUGACGGUACUGGAAGAAGAAGCACCGGCUAACUCCGUGCCAGCAGCCGCGGUAAUACGGAGGGUGCAAGCGUUGUUCGGAAUGACUGGGCGUAAAGGGCGCGUAGGCGGGCUAGUAAGUCGAAUGUGAAAGCCCAGGGCUUAACCCUGGAAUUGCAUUCGAAACUGUUAGUCUUGAAUGUCUGAGAGGUUAGUGGAAUUCCAAGUGUAGGAGUGAAAUCCGUAGAUAUUUGGAGGAACACCGGAGGCGAAGGCGGCUAACUGGCAGAGCAUUGACGCUGAGGCGCGAAAGCGUGGGUAGCAAACAGGAUUAGAUACCCUGGUAGUCCACGCCGUAAACUAUGGAUACUAGGUGUUUGGGAAGUUAACAUCCUGAGUACUAAAGCUAACGCAUUAAGUAUCCCGCCUGGGGAGUACGGUCGCAAGGCUAAAACUCAAAGGAAUUGACGGGGGCCCGCACAAGCGGUGGAGUAUGUGGUUUAAUUCGACGCAACGCGCAGAACCUUACCUACCCUUAACAUCCCAGGACGAUUGCAGAGAUGUAAUCUUCUCUUUGGAGACCUGGUGAUAGGUGCUGCAUGGCUGUCGUCAGCUCGUGUCGUAAGAUGUUCGGUUAAGUCCGGUAACGAGCGCAACCCUUGUCCUUAAUUGCCAGCAUUAAGUUGGGCACUUUAGGGAGACUGCCGGUGUUAAACCGGAGGAAGGCGGGGAUGACGUCAAGUCCUCAUGGCCCUUACGGGUAGGGCUACACACGUACUACAAUGGCAGAAACAAACCGUCGCAAUAUCGCGAGAUGGAGCUAAUCGGUAAAACACUGUCCCAGUCCGGAUUGGAGUCUGCAACUCGACUCCAUGAAGCUGGAAUCGCUAGUAAUCGCUGAUCAGCAAGCAGCGGUGAAUACGUUCACGGGCCUUGUACACACCGCCCGUCACACCACGAAAGUGAUCAUAACCAGAAGUACGUGAGCUAACUCGCAAGAGAGGCAGCGUACCAAGGUUCUGGCCGCAAUUGGGGUGAAG
rnacentral:rRNA from 1 species